AUCCAGGGAUUCGCUUGGAACCGCAGUCACAACAGAAUGCGCAACAGUUGCGUGUGCACGAUAAAGAGAGAGGGAUAAUUGGUUUCGAAAGUUUGGUAAAAAAAAAGAAAAGAAAGAAAGAAAGAAAGAAAGAAACGUAGGAGGAGACGGACGAAAUGAACGUGGAGAAAUUGGCCGGGACAUCGCAGAACGGAACAUGGAGCACGGAACAACAACGGGCGAGGAACGGGGAAAUGUGAACACGCCUUCCAUCGAGAUGUCCGAGAGACGGAUCUCAAUGGGCAUCAAUGUCAGCAUUCUGGUGAUACUGGCCAUAUUCGGUGUAUUGCUCUCGUUGCCGUUGAGAUUACUGUUGAACACGAAUUACUACAGCCGGGACGAGAUCGUUGCAGCGGGUAACGAGACAAGCGUACAAGCGACGGGGAACUCGACCGUCGAGGAGGAGGAGGAGAUAAUUCCGAUUCCAUUUGAUCACAAAAGGUUGAAACGUUGCCCGAGGUUCGAGUACGAGAACACGUUGAAGUAUAUUUUCAAAAGUGAUUACGAUGGGAAUUGCACUUACGACACGGGAACCAGUUUCGCGACGAUUGGGAAUGAUACGGUGGAGGAGAGGGAAGGAGGGAAGGAGAAGGGGGAGAAGGAGGAGGAAGAGGAGGAGAAGGAGGGAAGUUUGAAGGAGGACGGUAACGAAGGAAGGAAGGAAGACACGGGUACGAGGAUUUUGAGGGAGAUUGGCAAGAGUGAUAAUAAGACGGAUAAAGUGGAGGAAAGUGGGGAGGAUCGUCGAUCGAAAUCGGUCCUGGUCGCCGGACACAUUCUCGUGACGAUGCUUCUCAUUUCAGCAAUAGCUGCUCUCGUUGAAGUGUUGAGAAUACGUUUCGCUAGAGACAAGGACUCGUCUAAGGCAGGUAGUAUCAGCUCAAGAAAAACGUCCACGAUCGAGCUUCCCAUUCAGAGGCGAUUCCUACCGAGGUAUCCAAUGAAGAGUACGAAGUCUUUCGAAAUGCAUCGAUCCGCUUUUCGCCUAUUAGGUGCAAGACCACCGCCUCUUAUUCGUCGUUCUUCGUUCCCAAUCCAGCAAUCUAAGCAAAGCUCUGGUUCCAUCAGUGGUACACCGAAUAAUCGAAUAUCGAGACGCCAAUCGGCUGAAUCUGACGAAGAAAUCGGAGUCCUUAUUAACGCUCUUCACCAUCGCACACGCCUCAUUCGACGGCAUUAAAGUAAGAUCAAUCAAUUGAAUUCUUUGAAAAUUCAUUCGCAUUAACAAUAACAGGGUACACGUCUUAGACUGAAUGGUCUUACAUAUUGCACAACGACUCACGUUCACGAAUUCUUAAAAAAAUUCUUAUUGCUUCGUGAAUCCAUCACUCAACAGGACUUCCAAUAUAAAAAUCGUUGUAUCUUCCUAUAUUUUACAAUUUUGACAUCCAAUACAAAUUUCGCAUUUACAAAGAACCUAAAACUUUCCUUUUGCUGCUAGGACAGGCAACAAAUCUGCUUACUACCGUUUUCCAUCAUUGUUCUUUAUAUUUUUGUUCUUUAUAAGGUAAAAUAUCUAUAUAGGAAGUGUUUGUGUAAAUAAGUAAUUGCAAAAAUUAUUCGAAAUGGAAAACGAAAGAAUACUAAGUAUUCGUACUUUAUCGUAUAUGAUAUUGUAAUACAAUGUAAAGAUCGUGUGAAAGUAAUCAAAA